CACGCACGCACGAAUCCACACGCACGCACGAAGCACCCUCGUGCGCGCGCACACUCCACCCACGCGCGUUUGUGUAAUUAUCAGUGUGAGGCUCCCGCUGCCAAAACACACACAAUGAAGGGAACCGGUCCGUGAUGGAGAGUUCUUAUGAAUGACUGCAUCACUGCACAUCAGCAGCAAAGUGUCCAAACAGCGUUUCAAAAUCGAAAACGGAAUACAAUUCUAGAAUACAUGCAUGAAAAAUGAAGCUGUGUUAAAAAAUCUGGUGUAUUUAAGCUUAAAAAUCAUAAAUGAAAGCAGACGGCUGAAUAUUAGCAUCAGUUAAAGAGUAAAAUGAACUUUAAAGAAGCGAUUUGAAGCUUCACCAUUUUCUGUCAUUCAACAAUUACUAAAGAAAAUACCUGUUAGCUGUGCCGAUAAUGAGAAUAACUUCUGUUUUUAAGGCCUUCGGGUCUCCAUUGAGGGAUUAAUUCAAUCUAGCAGUUUUUUUAUGUUAAUGACCCACAAAGAGACAAAAUAUGACCGCAAAUGCACUCAAAGAGGUGAAAAUGGCUGAAAAUGACCACAAAAUAGACAAAGUGACCAAAAAUGACUAUAAAAAUUAAAUGACCACAAAAUGACCAUAAAAUGGCCUUCUAAUAUCCAUAAAGUGACCAUAAAAUAACUAUAAAAUAGCCAUAAAAGGAUCAGAAAGUUACCACAAAAUAACCAGAAAACAGUGAAAAAAAGAACACAACAUGACCACAAAGUGACCAUAAAAUUACCACAAAAUAAGCAUAAAACAGUUCAAAGUAGUUAUUGUUGUAAAACCGUCUUUUAAAUCAAAAUAUUUCCCUCAACCAAACAUUAGGUGCAUAAACACGACUGCACCAUUUUACUGCUCUGCUCCCCACAUUAGAACCGAGACACUCCUGUUUUGUUUUACAAUCAAAAUGCCUUUUAAGGACCAAAUCGGUCAUCAAAAAAGUGACUGCAGCUCUGAUUAAAAUUCAUUUAAUGCAUCAGAAAACCCAGAUUUCAUUGGCGUGGGUUGUAUUUUAAAGAUUAAAGCUCCCAGGAUGAUUUAAAACUGAUCCAUAAAUCAUCCUGAUCACACAUUUCUUUAUCGGUUUCAUAUAAAGUUUCAUUAAAAGCAGAAAGUCCCGCGUUUUUGAGCCAUAUAAAAGCAGCCAUAGAUGGAAAUAAAUUAAACAAUGGAGCUUGAACAAGUCAGUUUUUGGAAAAUCUUAAUUUUUUGGGGUGACAUCAGCCUUCUUUAUAAACGUCUAGUCAUUGUUGAACUCAUUUUAACUGCAUAGCAACAGAAUUUUUGCAUUGUAAAGUUUAAAAAUACGAAAAAUUCCGCGCAUUUUACAGUUUUCUGAUAUUAAACUCAUCAUCUUGUUAUAUUACUGUAGACUGUUGCUCUGAAUAGAUAGAUAGUGACACGAGUUGGCAUUUAGCCAGCUCCUAUCCCUGGGAAAGUGAUCGCCGCUGUGCCUACGGUUCGCUGUGCGCACUUGCAUAUGGCCUCUCCUUUCCAAAUGUGUCCGUAGCACCGCCUUCCCGUGGCGCCCCCUGUUCUCACAGAGAUUGCUGCAGAUGCGACCGAAUGCCCGGCGGAAUAACUGGGCGAUGGGCAGACUGGGCUCACUUUAGCCUUGGUUGGCAGCCAGUCCAGGAGAAGGAAAACUCUGAUUCCAAACCCUCGAGUGCCUGGCGUGCUGGACUACUGGAUGCGAGAUGGCCCUGGGUCAGAGACGAGAGACAGGGUUCAGCAGCCAUGCCCCAGCCUGGGUUACUGCUCCUGUGCCACCGGGGAAGGUUCUUGAGCCAAUGGCUAGAAGAAGGACACUCUGAUGUAAAACCUACAGACUGGCAGCCUGCUGAGCCACUGAGGAACCUAAAGAGUGGGACCAGUUGGCGCGCACUGACUUUCACUUUAAAACUACGCAGCGCAGGCGGGAAGAGGAGGAAAACGUCUCACGCAUGGACAACUCCAGGAUGCCUAAAGCCGUCUUCUACGGUGAACCACGACAAGGCAAACGUGAUCGUGGGGCCCCUCGAAAACGCUUCAAGGAUCAACUGAAGCGGCAGCUCACCCAACAAAUAUAGUGAGUGGGAGCAACUGGCUGAAAACAGAACAGAAUGGAGAGCAACCAUCAAGUCAGCGGCAGAAAAGUUUGAGGACAGACUUAUUCUUCAUCCUACUCCUGUACUUGUACAUGGGAUGUGUGUAUUCUGUGCUGUAUAAAUUGUAUCCAUUUGUUGAUUUUUCAUGCAUUACCAUGGAAAAGAAUAAAUGAAAUGAAAAAAAAAAGCAGAAGCGGCAGAGAAACGUCAACGACAAAAGGACUCAGCAAGCCAGCUGCCAUCUGACACCACAUACGUGUGACCACAGUGCUCGAGGGUCCCCAAGUCUGGAAUAGGCCUCUACAGCCACCGCCGAGCCUGUCGCCGGACAUCCACCCCCCCCUUCCCAGUGAUCUUCGCACGCAAAGAAACCGCCACCGACAAGAAAACAUUUGCAGAUUUAAGUUGAGGGAAUGAGUUGAUUUUUCACCAUUUUCUGUCUUUAAUUUAACAAUUACUAAAGAAAAUAUCUGUUGGCUGCGGUGAAAAUGAAAGUAACUUUUGUUUUUCAGGCUUCCAGGUCUCCACUGAUGGAUUCAUUCCACCCAACAAGGCUUCCAGGUCUCCAGUGAUGGAUUCAUUCGACCCAACAAGGCCUUCAGAUCUCCAGUGACGGAUUAAUUCAACCCAACAGGAUUUUUUUUAAAAAAUGUUCAUUGCCGGACGGAAUGAAAAACUUUGAGCUCACCUGAAAUAAUUCCGUGAGCCUCGUUUCUAAUUACUCAGAGAAUGGAAACGUUAAUUCAUUAUAUUCUGCAAAAUAUUAAUGAGGAAAAACUCUGCGUUUCCUCAGUGAGUGCUUCAUCACCUGAGGCUGCUUCUGAUUGGUCGAUUCUGAUUCCUUUUGUCCAAAUCCUGAAUUAACUCUCGGUGGCUCGAUAACUGGAGAGAACAGUUUAAGAAGAGCUCAACAGAAGAAUAGUCAGCUUUAUUUUUGCCAAAUGAAUGCAAGGUGCACUCACGAAGUUCAAAAGUUACGUCUUUACAAAACAAAAACAGUACGUGAUCUAAUUUUGCCUUCUCGUGCUCCCAGUGCUCUGAACACCCGCUACGUUCCCUGGAAGUUGCGUUCUGACCACCUGCAUUUGUAAAUUCAGCUAAAACUUGUGCUGAGAGCAAAACGUGGCAUUUAGCUUCAAACUGAUCUUCCUACAGUCCCUGAACUUUCUGAUUACACCUUGCAGUUGUGCAGCGAUGCUCGGCUCCCAGUGCUCCCCAACAUUUGUAAUGGAAUAGGACGUCCUGUUCUGCAAACAUGUCAAGAACCAUCUGCAAGCAAUGCUCUAAACUGACUCAAGACAGCAAAAAUUCAACUUGAAUUUAAAUUCAGGGAAGUGGAAGAAGUUGAAGCCAGGCAAAUCUGGUGAGCAGAGCAAAGAUUUUGUUGUUGUGGUCGAAAACAAUAAAAUGACUCAAAAUGUGUCAAAAACUAGUAAAAGACGACUCAGAAUUGUCUAAAGUAACCAGUCCCUCCAGGACUUUGUGAUGUUGCGAUCGCGCGAAGUCAACCAAUCUCCACGAAUUUUGCGCGGCCUUGCAGUUUUGUCCAAUCACCGCCUCCCGUGAGUUCCACCAAUCAUAGCAGCUCCCAGAGCAAACGUAAUGCGCGUACGUCAUCGAAUUCACUUCCUGUUUAUGGUUUGAAGAUGCAGACGUGUGCGAUCAUAGAUAUGUGUGCGAUACUAAUGCAGUCGAACUGAAGAAGCCUCUUGGAUGAGAGGUGAAACGUCUUCAAGGAACUUUCUUAAAGUCCAGUGGAUUGAUUUAAACUACUUUGGAUGACUUAAAACAUAGAAACUUUUAUCGCAAUUUUUUUAGAAAAGCUGCCACGAAUUCAGGCAUUUUCGGCCGCAACAAUCACAAAAAAACGAAAUCCUGGAGGGACUGAGUAACUUAUGAUUCCGCAGGACUUCCAUUUUUGUGAUGACAGAAUGUGUCGUUUGCUCUUGCCACGGUGAAACUGCAGAUGCGAGUUUUCAAAACCGGACUUUUACGUGCUGCAGGAGCACGAGGAGCAGAGUAUCUGUGCACAGGGAGACAACUUCAACAGGGAUUGUGAGCAUUUUUACAUCAGGUGAUAUGAUGUUGCUAACAGAAAGAUUAUUUGGCUUUAACAGUAUAAAACUGAGCUGCAGUGAAGCUUCAGCGCCCCCUGCUGGUGACAUGUGGUUUACAUUUAGUGAUUUACAGCUUGUUUGUUGUCGGACUUGCUCAGAGGGAGUCGAAACUUUCUAUAUCAUGUCAGUAUAACUUGAAAAAUAAACACAUGCAACACAUUUA